GAUUCCAGAAAAAAACGUUACGAUCUCCAGAGGGUAGGAUGGCGACACGCCCCACCUCCAGUGGACAAAAGAGCGCUGUCACAAGGCAUCGGGCCACACCCUAGAACUGGUCCACGCCUCACUGUGGCGCGCCUCCAGUAAGGUUCACCGUCACAGAAACCCGUUGUGUGACCCUCCUUCCCUCCCCGUGGUGUUCAGAGAGUGUCGUGUCCCCCAGUGUGUCAGGAAAGACUGUCGGCCACACACUAACCCUAACCGUCCCACAUCCCAGGCCCAGGAUGGACUUCCCAGUGCUGUUUCCCAACUGCUGUGUGACAUACAGGGAACUGUGCAUGAGAGGACGACACACAAAGACAGGCGGUUCCCUCUGGCUGCUGUGAGGCAAAAGUCUUCUUCAAAGAGACCCACCUUUGAGCGGAGGCCCGCAUGUGCCACUCGAGGUCUGGAGCAUCCUG